rnacentral:rRNA from 1 species
CCAAUAGCGUAUAUUAAAGUUGUUGCAGUUAAAAAGCUCGUAGUUGAAUUUCGGGGUUCUACCGUUGGUCGGGCAAUUGUCUGUACUGGCGUGUGGAAUUUCUACCUUCUGGGGAACCAUCAUGUUAUUAAUUUAGCGUGGUGGGAAACCAGGACCUUUACCUUGAAAAAAUUAGAGUGUUCAAAGCAGGCUUACGUCUGAAUACAUUAGCAUGGAAUAAUAAAAUAGGACGGUGGUCCUGUUUUGUUGGUUUCUGAAUCACCGUAAUGAUUAAUAGGGAUAGUUGGGGGCAUUAGUAUUCAAUUGUCAGAGGUGAAAUUCUUGGAUUUAUUGAAGACUAACUUCUGCGAAAGCAUUUGCCAAGGAUUUUUUCAUUAAUCAAGAACGAAAGUUAGGGGAUCGAAGACGAUCAGAUACCGUCGUAGUCUUAACCAUAAACUAUGCCGACUAGGGAUCGGACGAUGUUAAUUUUUCUUGACUCGUUCGGCGCCUUACG